rnacentral:miRNA from 1 species
CUCGGACAUUUUGGACUCGGA